rnacentral:rRNA from 1 species
UACGUAGGGGGCGAGCGUUGUCCGGAAUUAUUGGGCGUAAAGAGCGUGUAGGCUGUUCGGUAAGUCUGCCGUGAAAACCUGAGGCUCAACCUCGGGCGUGCGGUGGAUACUGCCGGGCUAGAGGACGGUAGAGGCGAGUGGAAUUCCCGGUGUAGCGGUGAAAUGCGCAGAUAUCGGGAGGAACACCCGUGGCGAAAGCGGCUCUCUGGGACGGUACUGGCGCUGAGACGCGAAAGCGUGGGGAGCGAACAGG